UGGGGAAUAUUGGACAAUGGGCGAAAGCCUGAUCCAGCAAUGCCGCGUGAGUGAUGAAGGCCUUCGGGUCGUAAAGCUCUUUUACCAGGGAUGAUAAUGACAGUACCUGGAGAAUAAGCUCCGGCUAACUCCGUGCCAGCAGCCGCGGUAAUACGGAGGGAGCUAGCGUUGUUCGGAAUUACUGGGCGUAAAGAGUACGUAGGCGGUUAUUCAAGUCAGAGGUGAAAGCCCGGGGCUCAACCCCGGAACUGCCUUUGAAACUAGAUAACUAGAGUCUUGGAGAGGUUAGUGGAAUUCCGAGUGUAGAGGUGAAAUUCGUAGAUAUUCGGAAGAACACCAGUGGCGAAGGCGACUAACUGGACAAGUACUGACGCUGAGGUACGAAAGCGUGGGGAGCAAA
rnacentral:rRNA from 1 species